rnacentral:ncRNA from 1 species
CCUUUGGAGUAACAUACCAAACUGAAGUAGUCUUAUGAUAAAACAGGUUACGAUGAAUAAGGAA